rnacentral:ribozyme from 1 species
AAGUAUUUGAAGAGGACGAACAAACGAAGAUGCGACAAACAAACGGAGAUGGAAUUCUAUUUAGUUUUUCUUCUUCUUCUUUUUCUUCUUGUUUUU